UUCCGGUGACACGAACUCUGUUC
rnacentral:siRNA from 1 species